UUACCUUCGGGUAAUGAGGAUGGCGGACGGGUGAGUAACGCGUAAGGAACUUGCCUCUUGGACUGGGACAACUGUUGGAAACGACAGCUAAUACCGGAUAUUAUGAGAUUCUCGCAUGAGAAACUUAUGAAAGCUAUAUGCGCCAAGAGAGAGCCUUGCGUUCCAUUAGCUAGUUGGUGGGGUAACGGCCCACCAAGGCGACGAUGGAUAGCCGGCCUGAGAGGGUGAACGGCCACAAGGGGACUGAGACACGGCCCUUACUCCUACGGGAGGCAGCAGUGGGGAAUAUUGGACAAUGGGCCACAAGCCUGAUCCAGCAAUUCUGUGUGCACGAUGAAGGUCUUCGGAUUGUAAAGUGCUUUCAGUUGGGAAGAAGAAAGUGACGGUACCAACAGAAGAAGCGACGGCUAAAUACGUGCCAGCAGCCGCGGUAAUACGUAUGUCGCAAGCGUUAUCCGGAUUUAUUGGGCGUAAAGCGCGUCUAGGCGGAAAAAUAAGUCUGAUGUUAAAAUGCGGGGCUCAACUCCGUAUUGCGUUGGAAACUGUUUUUCUAGAGUACUGGAGAGGUGGGCGGAACUACAAGUGUAGAGGUGAAAUUCGUAGAUAUUUGUAGGAAUGCCGAUGGAGAAGUCAGCUCACUGGACAGAUACUGACGCUGAAGCGCGAAAGCGUG
rnacentral:rRNA from 1 species